GUAGUCCACGCCGUAAACGAUGGGCACUAGGUGCUUGGGGGAGCGACCCCCCGAGUGCCGGCGCUAACGCAUUAAGUGCCCCGCCUGGGGAGUACGACCGCAAGGUUGAAACUCAAAGGAAUUGACGGGGGCCCGCACAAGCGGUGGAGCAUGUGGUUUAAUUCGACGCAACGCGAAGAACCUUACCCAGACUUGACAUGUACGAGAAAGCCUCUGGAAACAGGGGCCCCUCUUCGGAGCUCGUGCACAGGUGCUGCAUGGCUGUCGUCAGCUCGUGUCGCGAGAUGUUGGGUUAAGUCCCGCAACGAGCGCAACCCUUGCCCUUAGUUACCAGCGAGUAAAGUCGGGGACUCUAGGGGGACUGCCGGUGCCAAACCGGAGGAAGGUGGGGACGACGUCAAGUCAUCAUGGUCCUUACGUCUGGGGCUACACACGUGCUACAAUGGCAGGUACAGAGGGCUGCGAAAGGGCAACCUGGAGCCAAUCCCUAAAGCCUGCCUCAGUUCGGAUUGUCGUCUGCAACUCGACGGCAUGAAGCUGGAAUCGCUAGUAAUCGUGGAUCAGCGACGCCACGGUGAAUACGUUCCCGGGCCUUGUACACACCGCCCGUCACGCCAUGGAAGCUGUGAGCGCCCAAAGUCGGUGUCGGAACCCGCAAGGGACCAAGCCGCCUAAGGCGAGCGCAGUGACUGGGGCG
rnacentral:rRNA from 1 species